UAAGCGGAGGAGAAGAAACUAACCAGGAUUUCCCUAGUAACGGCGAGCGAACCGGAAAGAGCCCAGCUUGAAAAUCGCGUGGUUCCGCCCCGCGAAUUGUAGUCUGGAGAAGCGUCCUCUGCAACGGACCGGACCCAAGUUCCCUGGAACGGGACGUCGGAGAGGGUGAGAACCCCGUCGAGUUCGGACCCUGUUGCUCCACGAGGCGCUGUCUGCGAGUCGGGCUGUUUGGGAAUGCAGCCCUAAGUGGGAGGUAAAUUCCUUCUAAGGCUAAAUACAGGCAAGAGACCGAUAGCGAACAAGUACCGCGAGGGAAAGAUGAAAAGGACUUUGAAAAGAGAGUUAAAAAGUGCUUGAAAUUGCUGGGAGGGAAGCGAAUGGAAGCUGCGGGUGCGCCUCGGUUGGAUGCGGAACGGCGAGAGCUGGUCCGCCGCUCAACGCGGGGCGCUGGUCAGCGUGGGCCAUCGCGGCGGGACAAGAGCCGGCUUUGUUGCCGGCCUAUGCCGUUGUGGUGGCCGAGGGACGAAGCGCGCGCCACUCGUGGCGGGCCUCAGGGCACCUGCGCGCUCGGGACGCUGGCGUAUUGAGCUCUCCAUCCGACCCGUCUUGAAACACGGACCAAGGAGUCUAACAUGUAUGCGAGCCGGUGGGCGGCAAACCCAUUGAGGCGCAAGGAACCUGACAGGUGGGAUCCCCUCGGGGAGCACCAUCGACCGACCGUGAUCUUCUGUGAAAGGUUUGAGUGUGAGCAUACCUGCUGGGACCCGAAAGAUGGUGAACUAUGCCUGAGCAGGGCGAAGCCAGAGGAAACUCUGGUGGAGGCUCGUAGCGAUACUGACGUGCAAAUCGUUCGUCAGACUUGGGUAUAGGGGCGAAAGACUAAUCGAACCAUCUAGUAGCUGGUUCCCUCCGAAGUUUCCCUCAGGAUAGCUGGAGCUCAUGAAGUUUUAUCAGGUAAAGCGAAUGAUUAGAGGCAUCGGGGGUGUAACACCCUCGACCUAUUCUCAAACUUUAAAUAGGUAAGCCGCCAGGGUUGCUUGGUUGAACCCUGGCACAGAAUGAGAGCUCCAAGUGGGCCAU
rnacentral:rRNA from 1 species